rnacentral:tRNA from 1 species
GCACCUUUAAUUUAAUGGUAAAAUACUCCCCUUGUAAGGGAAAUUUGUCAGUUCGAUUCUGGCAAGGUGCUCCA